AAACUGCCAAACAUGUGUAUAAAACCAAUAAACAAACAUGAAUUACAUGCCACAAAGGUACCAAACAUGUGUUCAAUAUGGAGCGUUAAAACAAAUUCCGUUUGAUGUGAAUGGACAAAAUAGUUGGGAAAAUUAUAGGAAUGGAUCACAGAAAA